rnacentral:rRNA from 1 species
GACGAACGCUGGCGGCGCGCCUAACACAUGCAAGUCGAACGAGCGAGAGAGAGCUUGCUUUCUCGAGCGAGUGGCGAACGGGUGAGUAACGCGUGAGGAACUUGCCUCAAAGAGGGGGACAACAGUUGGAAACGACUGCUAAUACCGCAUAAGCCCACGACCCGGCAUCGGGUUGAGGGAAAAGGAGUGAUCCGCUUUGAGAUGGCCUCGCGUCCGAUUAGCUAGUUGGUGAGGUAACGGCCCACCAAGGCAACGAUCGGUAGCCGGACUGAGAGGUUGAACGGCCACAUUGGGACUGAGACACGGCCCAGACUCCUACGGGAGGCAGCAGUGGGGAAUAUUGCACAAUGGGGGAAACCCUGAUGCAGCGACGCCGCGUGGAGGAAGAAGGUCUUCGGAUUGUAAACUCCCGUUGUUGAGGAAGAUAAUGACGGUACUCAACAAGGAAGUGACGGCUAACUACGUG